rnacentral:rRNA from 1 species
CCCUUAGAUGUUCUGGGCCGCACGCGUGCUACACUGAGUGGAUCAGCGGGUCAGGUUGCGCGAAAGCGUUUCCUAAUCUUUAAAUCCGCUCGUGAUGGGGAUUGACGGUUGCAAUUUUCUGUCAUGAACGAGGAAUACCUUGUAAGCGCGGGUCAUCAUCCCGCGCUGAAUACGUCCCUGCCCUUUGUACACACCGCCCGUCGCUCCUACCGAUUGAGUGGUCCGGUGAGGCUUGGGAUCUGAGCGGAAAGAGCGUUUCGCUGUUUCUGCUCGGAAAACUCAGUCGAACCUUAUCAUUUAGAGGAAGGAGAAGUCGUAACA